rnacentral:rRNA from 1 species
GACAACCAACCCAUAACAGGGGGAUAACCCGGAGAAAUCCGGACUAAUACCGCAUAAGACCACGAUAUCGCAUGAUAUAGAGGUCAAAUAUUUAUAGGUUAUGGACGGCAUGCGUCUGAUUAGCUGGUGGCGGGUAACGCCACCAAGGCAUCGAUCAGUAGGGGUUCUGAGAGGAAGGUCCCCCACAUUGGAACUGAGACACGGUCCAAACUCCUACGGGAGGCAGCAGUGAGGAAUAUUGGUCAAUGGGCGAAAGCCUGAACCAGCCAUGUCGCGUGAAAGGAUGAAGGCCCUAUGGAUUGUAAACUUCUUUUGCAGGAGGGUAAAGUGAGCUACGUGUAGUUCAUUGCAAGUACCCUGCGAAUAAGCAUCGGCUAACUACGUGCCAGCCGCCGC